GGGACGGGACCGUACGGGACAGGACGGGACGGGACAGUGAGUCACACUGCUGUUGUGUCAGUACAUUCACAGUACUGGAUCACACAGAAUGAACCAGCUUGUUUGCCAGAGCACUCUGAAUUCCAUGCAUAUGAAUGUGGGAAGAAGAUGCAACGCAACAGAUUUUCAGCAAAUAAAGGAUGAGCAAGUGAGAGAAGCUCCACAGAGACAGGCUGGGAGCUCAGAGGCACACAGCAUAUAAAACAUAGUGAAAGCAUGGUCCAAGGCCAGUGUUCUCCAAGGCUGGCUGAACACUUGAGUAUCCCAGUUACAAGCCGUGCUCCCUGAUGUGUGACACACUGAGCUGUGGAGAGUGGAGACCUUGUGUAUACUUCAGAAUACUACAGCCCAAUUACACUGCACGCCAGGAAGUCCUCUCACAGUAAGAACACUGCUGUCUCCCAGCCACUGCAGAGCACACUGCCUGCCUGCCAGAGCGUCUGAAGACUGACUCAUCGCUGUCCUCAAGCAGACUCGACACACUGCUAUCAACACGCAUAUGGAUCCAUGGAUACAAUUACAAGAGUGUCAUUUUCAAAAAGGGCAUGAUUUAAAUCUGCUGUCAACUUAAAUAUACAGUA